rnacentral:rRNA from 1 species
UAACCGCAAGCUCCACCUGUUAUGGUGCUCCCCCCGCCAAUCCUUUAAGUUCAGCCUUGCGGCCGUACUUCCCAGGUGGCUCGCUUCACGGCUUCCCUACGGCACCGACAACGGUCGCACCGUGGCCGACACCUAGCGAGUAUCGUUUACGGCUAGGACUACCCGGGUAUCUAAUCCGGUUCGUGCCCCUAGCUUUCGUCCCUUGCCGUCAGGUCCGUUCUGGUGAGACGCCUUCGCCACUGGUGGUCCUUCAAGGAUUACAAGAUUUCACCCCUACCCCUGAAGUACCUCUCACCUCUCCCGGCCUCGAGCCGAACAGUAUCUCCUGAAAGCCCAACAGUUGAGCUGCUGGAUUUCUCAAGAGACUUAUCCGGCCGGCUACAGACCCUUUAGACCCAAUAAUAACGGUUACCACUCGAGCCGCCGGUGUUACCGCGGCGGCUGGCACCGGUCUUGCCCGGCCCUUGCUAUGCAAUGCUUUUUAUGCAUCACGACAGCCAGAUUUGUAACCUGGCACUCGAGGUCCCCUUAUCGCCUUU